rnacentral:rRNA from 1 species
UACGUAGGGGGCAAGCGUUGUCCGGAAUUAUUGGGCGUAAAGAGCUCGGUAGGCGGUCUGUCGCGUCGGCUGUGAAAACCCGGGGCUCAACCCCGGGCCUGCAGUCGAUACGGGCAGACUAGAGUGUGGUAGGGGAGACUGGAAUUCCUGGUGUAGCGGUGAAAUGCGCAGAUAUCAGGAGGAACACCGGGUGGCGAAGGCGGUUCUCUGGGCAUUACCUGACGUGAGGAGCGAAAGUGUGGGGAGCGAACAGG